ACCACGUGUCGUGUAUUUGUACCCAAGUACGCGGCGUAGGUCGCUAAUUCGGAAUCGAACCAUCGUUAUAACCGACUCCUCCCUCCAUCUCUCUCUCUCGCCUCUCCUCUCUUCCUCUCAUCGCAAGAAACCCCAAUGCCCGACGCCUCUUCCCUCCCAUCGCAAGAAACCCCCGGCAUAAUGUUGUGGUCGCGGAAGCCGUGAUUUAAGCGCGGAGGAGAUGAGAUCCUGGGGGUGGGGGGGGGACGAUGCAGAACACGAGCAGGCGGCGGGGAUACCUUUCUCUAUCGUCGCUGUGGUCGGCGUUACCGGGCUUGUGAUUCGUGGGCCGGAUGUGGUUUAUUUCUCCCUCGCCCCUUUGUUUCUGAGUCCGAUCCGUGUGGAUAAGUGUGCCGGCCAGGAAGCGCGGUGGGGGGCGAAGAGGUUCUUGGAUUUCUUGGAGUUUGAAGCAGAAAAUGCUGCAAGAUCAUCGAAAGACGGUCAGGGUUUCUUCAUGUGACUGCCGUUGCCGAUAAUUUCUUUCUCUGGUUGAAGUUGGUUGUUGCGAAUUCACCAGCACUGCACUUUUCCAGGAUAUAUGGAGAUGCCAAUAGACAUAAAAUUUAGGAGGUUAUUGGGAAAAGCAAUUUACUACAGAGUUAUUUGUUCGGCGGUUGAUGGUUGAUACUCUUACUGGAAAGACUGUGAUGAUUGAGAAGAUAUAAAUUAAGGUGGUUAUUCGAAAAAGGAAGUUACGGAGUUGUUUAGUCAGAGCAUUUGACAGUAGAUGAAAGAAAGUUAAGUUACGAUGAAGAAGAUAUGUGGGAUCAAGCUUCUCUUUGUUGUGAGACAUCCGGAUACUCUAAAGAUCAAGAACAAUCAUGUUGCCUCCAUCAAGGAGGGGAUUGAAAAAUAUUUUUGAGCUCAUGGAGACAGAUCUUCACCAAAUUUAUCAAGGCUAAUGAUGCUGACAGGAGAAAAUAUUCCUUCUUUUUUACCUAUACCAAUGGCUGCACACGUUAAAGUAUAUCUAUAAAGGUCAGAUCAUAUUUUCCGGUGAUAUGUUGCCAGGAUCAUGUGAUUUAAACCAGCCAUUAGCUUUAGUUUUUCUCUGACUUAGGAAAAUUAUAAUUUUUUUUAAUGUAUAUUGCUUACUGCUUUUUGACUAACUUGUUGUGGUUGCAACUGAUUUUCUUAAAACUAGAGAAGUUUGUCGACAAUUUGGUAUUAGAACUCAUAGCGUCUUGGAGUUUGGAUGGUUCUCUUCUUUAAGUUCCCAUCUUGGAUUGGUUAGAAACUGAAUUCGUGAUCUGCAUCCUCUUGAAUAGGUCAAUUUACUAGGUCUUCUUUUUUGGUUUUUAGGAAACAAAUAUUAUUGCAGCUUUGUUGUUUAAAUUUCCUGUCUUAUCCGAGUAAACCUUUUGAUGCUUCCUCUGAUCUUUCUUCAACAAGAGCUUGAAAAGCAUUGUGUAAUUCACAUUGUGUCGAUUCACUUUCUUAGGAAGUAACAACCCAUGUCAUUCGCUGACGUUCCUAAUGCUGAUCCUUUUGUACUGGAACUCAUGGAGAACUUGUUGGCCUUUUGAUCCCAAAGGAUGGGUAAUUAAUUGGCUGAAGAGGGUAUGUUAAAUCAUGUCUGUUUUUAUUUUGUUUGUUGGUUCUUAAUUUUUUGUGUGGAAAUUUUGAAGAGAUACAGAUUUGUUGCUUUUCAAUAUCUGUUACCCUCUAUAAUUACUAUUCACGUGGUAGUCUCUCCAUACUUGAUUGUGAUCGUUUAUCCUUUUUUUACAUAUGUUUGACCUUUUUUGAAUAAGAUCGAUGUUUGACAUACUGAUACGCUCAACCAUUUAAAGAUUUUUUUUUUCUCUUUAUUCUUUACAUUUAUGUUUGGUUGAAGUGUGAAGAAUAUUUUCGGUGAAAUGGGUAUG